rnacentral:rRNA from 1 species
UUUAAGCAGUGAAGAAGACUCCAUGGUUAAUACCCAUGGACGAUGACAUUAGCUGCAGAAUAAGCACCGGGCUAACUCUGUGCCAGCAGCCGCGGUAAUACAGAGGGUGCAAGCGUUAAUCGGAAUUACUGGGCGUAAAGCGAGCGUAGGUGGCUUGAUAAGUCAGAUGUGAAAGCCCCGGGCUUAACCUGGGAACGGCAUCUGAUACUGUUAGGCUAGAGUAGGUGAGAGGAAGGUAGAAUUCCAGGUGUAGCGGUGAAAUGCGUAGAGAUCUGGAGGAAUACCGAUGGCGAAGGCAGCCUUCUGGCAUCAUACUGACACUGAGGUUCGAAAGCGUGGGUAGCAAACAGGAUUAGAUACCCUGGUAGUCCACGCCGUAAACGAUGUCUACUAGUCGUUGGGUCCCUUGAGGACUUAGUGACGCAGCUAACGCAAUAAGUAGACCGCCUGGGGAGUACGGCCGCAAGGUUAAAACUCAAAUGAAUUGACGGGGGCCCGCACAAGCGGUGGAGCAUGUGGUUUAAUUCGAUGCAACGCGAAGAACCUUACCUGGUCUUGACAUAUCUAGAAUCCUGCAGAGAUGCGGGAGUGCCUUCGGGAAUUAGAAUACAGGUGCUGCAUGGCUGUCGUCAGCUCGUGUCGUGAGAUGUUGGGUUAAGUCCCGCAACGAGCGCAACCCUUGUCCUUAGUUACCAGCGGUUUGGCCGGGAACUCUAAGGAUACUGCCAGUGACAAACUGGAGGAAGGCGGGGACGACGUCAAGUCAUCAUGGCCCUUACGACCAGGGCUACACACGUGCUACAAUGGUAGGUACAGAGGGCAGCUACACAGCGAUGUGAUGCGAAUCUCAAAAAGCCUAUCGUAGUCCAGAUUGGAGUCUGCAACUCGACUCCAUGAAGUAGGAAUCGCUAGUAAUCGCGGAUCAGAAUGCCGCGGUGAAUACGUUCCCGGGCCUUGUACACACCGCCCGUC